CCUUAUCAUUCUCUUGCCCGGCCGAAUACUAUGUUAUUGAAAUUGCGCUGGACGGAGAACUGAUAAGGGC
rnacentral:pre_miRNA from 1 species